UCUCUGAUUUGGUGCAGGGUGGGUGGGAGCUGAAAACACCACAAGCUCCAGGAUUUCCCCCAUCCCUGUGGGGGAAUUUCUCACCAUGGUCCUGGUGAGGGACCAAUGCCCUGUCCCCUCGCUGCUUCCCAAAGCUGAUCUUUGAGCUGUAGCUCUGCACUUGUUUUCUGUUGACUGAAGUCAGGCAGCACUAUUGUUUGGGUGUGAUUCAGAAUGAAUAUUGAGUGUGCCUCUAAGAUAAAGUCAUUAUUUAGGAGCUCAUUAAAGUACUGGCCUUGAAAAAAUUUCCCACUGCUAAUAUCCUCUUCCAUCACUGUGUCAAGGAUCGUGGCUAGUUUAGAAAAAGAGAUGUGGGCUCGUGGUGCUGCUGUAGCACCUCUCUCCUCCUACCUGGGGGAUGCUUACUUCUUUAAGCUUAGAGCUAAGAAAGCACCAGGUGUUAACAUGAACUGUAAAUUGCUUAUUUAGCAAUAGUCCCUCUGCAAAGUCCCUCAGCACCCUCAUUUCCAGAAAAGACCCUGAGGCUUUCUUCUCUCUGCUCCCAGAAGGCUGCAUCAAGCGUGCAAGAACAAGGCAGCGCUCAAGGAGAGAAUUAACUCGUAGCUCUCAGACAGCUCGUGUCCUGAAGCGGAAAUUACAGCUCCAGCCAUUUAUGUGAUUUCAGGCUAAUUUCUGCCAGUACUUGUUCUGGUAAGUACUGCUACUACCCUGAGCAGCUCCGAGGAAGGCUUCUUUAAUAAGUGCUAAUGUAAGGUGUAGUAGAGCUUCACUGGGUGGGCCACAUGUAAGUCAGGUGCUGAAAUGUGUGAAGAACUGCUUUAGGAACCAAGCCACUUGUUUGUGACGUGAAGAGCAGCACAACCCGAGGUGUGUGCCUCAGAAUCAUGCCCCACAGUGAGCCCCGGGGCCAGCUCUGCUGUGGCACGACCUGCAGCUCUGCAACCCACCUGCAGCCUGCCCAUGACAGUCCCUGCAGAAACCAGCGGUGAAUUCCUUGCAGAGCUGCCAAGGAGGGACUGUGAAAUUAGCAUCAAGGUAUUUUCUGGCUGUUUGCUUGAAAAGAUGCUGUCUCUGAUUAUUAGUUUGAAAUUCACUGGUAGCAGCUGUAACCAGCAUACUUUGCAUGGUGAAACCCUGCAGUCUGUCAUUGCGAUCACAUCUCUCCAAAUUCAUUUGCAAGUAAAGCACCGGAUCGGGGGGUGCAGAGGAAACUGGAGUGAGUGUGGCAUCUACAGGGCUGCUGGUAGCAGGUGUGAGCGAGCAGCCCUCGGUGGAACCCAUUGCUGCCCUGGCAUCACCUAUGUGCAGCACCUGUGUGCUCCUCUGGCUGGACAGGGGCUGAAGGACAGAGUCUGGGAAACACCAAGUGUGCGGAUAAAGUAUAAAAAUGGAGAUAAACACACUUAGUUGUAAUCAGGAUGUAAAUACCUGAGCCAAUAAACUGCAACUCAUGCAAUUAAUUUUACUCUCUGAGGCAGUCUCCAUCACUUGUCAGGGCUUGUGUGAUGCGGCUGAGCCUUCACAUAGCUGCUUGCAGGACAGAGCCCUCGUUUCUGAACUGCCAGUGUUUUGCAUGUGGCAGAUGGUGGAGGCUCGUCAAGCAUAACUGUGGAGCAUCGAUGCUCCAGCUCUCCUGCAGGGAGCAUUGUAUCCUGAUGGGCAACUCAGGAACACCAGGAUCCUAUAGGAAAGAGGCUUCUUUUGAAGAUCCCAACCAUAUGAUUUAUGGUAUAUAAUGCUUGCACUGUGUGAUUCUGCUCUAGAGGCUUGCUGUUGUUGGUGCUUAAAUUUGUUGUUUAGCACAUCACAGGACUUGGAGCAAUGCUGUUUUGGCAAAGUAUGUGGGAAGACUAUGUAAACACUACACAAGCUUUCUAUGUACUCCAUGUGUCUCCUUCAGUGUAUUUAAAUGAUCCAGCCAUGCAGUUACAGCACACCUAUUAAUACAAGUUAAUACAAAGGCAUAAUUAUUUUAUGGGAGCACUUAGGUUAUAUUUUUAUAAAGAGAACAAGAGGAUCCCCUGAGACACUGUUGUACAAAUAAUGAAGGACAGAAGCUCAAUUAGUGAAUGAACAGAAAGGAAAAGUGAGGCAUGAAUAAUGUAAAAUAGAGCAUAACUCAGCAGGCAUAUUAGUUUGUAUAAUAUACUGCUUCUUAUACGUUAAAAGGCUGCAUUGAGGAAUGAAGCAGCUGCUUUUCCUAUGGCAGUUUUCUAAACUGGGGUUGUCAGAAUAUUUUCUUUUGCAGUUUUCUGACUUGAGACAAGAAAAGUCGAUUCCUUAAUUCUAAAUUGAUGGAAGUGUCACUUUGAUACUUCCAUUUACUUUUUUCAUUAUAGAAAGAGCAGAAAUUGUCCAGAAUUAUUUCUUCAUUUCACGUUCCCCUGAGACUACAACAACAACAACAAGUGAUAUUUUUUGUCCAUAUAAUUUUAGAUUAUUAUUUUUCAGGUGGCGAUAUAUAGAAGCAUGAGCCUCAAUGGUUGACCAGAAAGUAAAGAAACCAAGAACUGAGCCUACAGAAAUAAACCUAAUCCCUAUCCUUUUUUCCUUAGAAGCCAACAGCAUGUUUCCAACAAGGCUGCUACUGCUGGCUUCUAAAGAUCUCCUGUUCUGGACUGACUAUGCAGAAGCAGCCCCCAUUAGCAGGCACAAGGAACUUUCUUGUGUGAUGCCCCCAUCUAUGAGCCCUGGUGCAGGCCAGGUGUCCCACAGAGGUCCAGCUGACAGAGCUGAAGUGACAGAGAAUCUGCCACAUCCUUGGGCACAUUGUCCCGGUGGUUAAUUAAUUGCCUUAGCUGUUCUGCACCAAGAACAACUCUAUUUCUCUGUAGAAAUGCCUUUGGGUUCCAGCCACUGGGCCUCAAGAUGCUCUUGUCUGUCACAUUAAAGUGCCUCAUCUUAUUACUCCUCUCUCUGCGUAGGCACUUGCUGACCACUCUCAAGUCACCUCUUCACCUUCCUCGGGACAGACUAAAUGGAUUGAAUGUCUCUAGCUCCUGGCUGUUUAUCAACCUCCCAUUCUUCUUGCUUCUGCUGCCUGAAACCUCUCCAGUCUGCUCUCAGCCUCCUCUCCAGCUGGACACAAAGAUACACAUGCAUGUCUUGUGCUGUGGUCAGAGAGCCCCUGCCU